rnacentral:rRNA from 1 species
AUACAAUGAAGAGUUUGAUCCUGGCUCAGGAUGAACGCUAGCGGCAGGCUUAACACAUGCAAGUCGAGGGGUAACAGGGGAGCUUGCUUCCGCUGACGACCGGCGAACGGGUGCGUAACGCGUAUAGAAUCUGCCUUGUACAGGAGGAUAGCCUUUAGAAAUGAAGAUUAAUACUCCAUAAUAUUGAGAAGUGGCAUCGCUUUUUAAUUAAACAUUUAUGGGUACAAGAUGACUAUGCGUCCUAUUAGCUAGAUGGUAAGGUAACGGCUUACCAUGGCAACGAUAGGUAGGGGGUCUGAGAGGAUUAUCCCCCACACUGGUACUGAGACACGGACCAGACUCCUACGGGAGGCAGCAGUGAGGAAUAUUGGUCAAUGGAGGCAACUCUGAACCAGCCAUGCCGCGUGCAGGAUGACUGCCUAUGGGUUGUAAACUGCUUUUAUACAGGAAGAAACAGUCGUACGUGUACGGCCUUGACGGUACUGUAAGAAUAAGCACCGGCUAACUCCGUGCCAGCAGCCGCGGUAAUACGGAGGGUGUGCAAGCGUUAUCC